GCUUAGGGUCAAGUUAGCCCCCGUUAUGUUGCCAGAUUUACUGAGCAACGUGCGGGGGUUUUCU
rfam:Kluyvera ascorbata ATCC 33433 GKAS.assembly.021, whole genome shotgun sequence.